UUUGGUCUCAUUUUUAUUCGAAUUCAUUUCCAAUCACAUAUUACGUGGGAUCCACAACUUUUAUUAACUUUUCAACAACAUAUUUCAUCAGCUUUUAUCAAAAUCUACUAAAAAUAUGAUUUUUAACAAAAUCAAACAGCGGCUAAAUUCCUACCUACCCAUUCCAGCACAAAGUUCAUUUUUCAGUAAAGUACUAGCAUUUUCCAUGGAAAGAAAAGAGGAGGAAAUAACACUAUUAUUAAUACCUUUGAAAUGCAAAAAGGGCCAUAGAGUCGCUUGUGUCAAAUCCCUUUCCGAGUAUCUCCCUAAAGAUCCACACUUCUCUUCAAGUCAUUAUCCAACCUAUCUUUUGUUCCACAUUAAGACAAGUUAUUAGCGUCGGCUCAAGUCAAAACAAAAUGAGAUAAAGCAAAUUACAAUCCUAACCCUACUUAUAUAUUACAAACACAUAUCUAACCGGCUGGUUAGGCUACUAGUCAAUUGUGUACGUACUGUGUACGGUGUCACCAUAAAGCAUAUGCAUGGUCUAUAUUGUUCAAAUAUAGAACUAUGAAUUAUUCAUAUAAGACAUUUUUUGUUAGAUAAAGAUCAUAUGUAAUACAUGUAUUGGGGUAAGGGAGGCGAUUUGGGAUAUAGCAAACAGUGUAUCGGGGUUGCAUCAUGUAUAGUGUGGAUGUUGAAGGUUUAACACGAUUGAAGGGAAGCAGAAGCCCCUGAAAAAUUAAGUGAAGAAAAGACUAUUCAAUGAUCGACUUACCUAUGAAAAGUAUUAACACCAAAAAGAUAUAUUGUGCUUAAUAUACGUGUAACGUGUUCAAAGAUGCUAUUUCGUAUAAUCAUCUAAUUAAUUUACGGAUUAACAUUAAUUCCAAUCAUAGUGUACAACAAUUGAUAUUUGACAGCCCAAUAGCAGAAAUAUGAAAAAACUAGAUAAUUUUGAAGGUUAAUUCAACAACAUAGAACAAGCUCAUAUUUCACUAACCCUGAUUUCAAUUACGAGAACAAUAUAUAAAUAAACCUACAUAAAACGCACAUUACUAUGGUGAUCUCACACUUGAAUUUGCAUGUCACAGGAGAACUACUCUUCUAAAAUCUUUUAUAUGGGAAUAUCAAGGCAAACAUAUGUAUGAUAUCUAGAAUGGAAAAAAUGGGUACAAUAAAAUAGACAGUCAUAACUUCUUCAUCUUUAGAUAUUAUUGAGUCCCACACAAGAAACGGUAUCAAACAAGCACAAGCAUAAGCAUGUAUAGAAUACCCAAUACGUGCCUGAAAACUCAUUGUCAAUCUUGCCAGUUGCCACCAAGGCCAAAUCAUCGUAGAGGGAAUAAAAUAAAGAGCAACUCUACACGUACAUAAAAAUGCUUACUAGAAUUGCACCAGAAGCCAAGUGUUAGCAAUCUGACGGAAAAAAAAAAAAAAAAAAAAAAAAAAAAGAAACAUAGACAAAUGAAAGUUGAUUCUGCCACACUUGCAUUCUGUAGCGAGCUCUAUAUAUACAUAUGUUUGAAUCGUAUUUUGAACCAACCUAAAAGCAACAUCUUGGUGUCCUGCUAAAGUGUUAUGGAGCACUGUGACACACAUUGGUCCAUGGUAAUAAGAUUUAGAUAAAUAAAAAAUAUUAAUUAGUCCAAGGCACAGUCAAAGCAGUCUACUCAAGUAGUAUUAUGCAUAACAAUCAGACCCGCAAAUUCAGGAGUACAAGAAUUCUUGACCAAGAUCUGAGCACACUAGCAAUCAUCAUACUAUCCACAUGGGUAGAACUGGAAAUUAAAGGAUUUUGUGUUGUUUAUGAUAUAUAUCUAGUCGUGAACCCCUUGAUCUCUAACCUUUCCAAAGUCAAUUGACGUGAUUAGCAGAAAUUUAAGUUUUUAUCUUAUUCUCCCACGAGAAUCCAAUCUAAAUCAUUAUUAGUGGAAUGACAUUAAUUAGUAACAAAAGACUAAUUUUUGAAACUUUAAUAAUUUCUUUCAGGGGACAAGGAUCCAAGGGUUCUUGAAUUUUGAGAUGUCAUGGAGAUUAUAACAUCGAGCAGUAUGGAAAGAUGUAGGAAAAGUUGUCAGGGAAAAUAGUCCAAAAGUCAAAUUUCACGAGAGAGUUUACCUGGAAUUACCAUCUACAGUUUUUAAAGUUUAGACUAUUACUGGAUUUAGACUAUGACUCCAACUUGCAGUUAGGAUGGAACCAAAACCCUCACUCAUCCCCCUAUUUCCCGUUCAACGAUUUUGUUUUAUUUUAGUCAACGAACUUUAUCUUGUUCUUAAUCACCGAAUUUGGACAUUUAAAUCAGUUUCGGAUCUUCUUCUGUCUCCUUUAAUUAAGUUAACAGAAUUCAUGGGUGGCCCUAAAAGCCAUCAAGACAUUGAAGUUCUUCUCCACCUUAACAAAGCCAUGUGUAGGUGACAAAACACUAUAUAAGUUGGAUGUUCACAAGUGUUUUUAUAAGUCCUGUGAACAAGAUAUUAACGUUUUCGUACUUGUUACUGAUCAUAUGUGAAGCCUCCAAUGGAAGCCACGGGUAAUCAAUCAAGACAAAAUAAAGAAGAAGGAAAGAAUUGUCUUUCCAACUGAAGCACUAUCUCCAUCAAAGCUUUGCUGCCAAAGUGCUCCCGAAGCUCCCUCUUGUGGCCUGUGGCCGAGGUGCUUGUUUUCUUCAAAGCAGGUAUGAUGAGUGUAUAUUUAGGAAUGAUUGAUGUAAUGUUUACAUUAUUAAAUGUUAGAUAUAUCAACCUAAAAAUAUAAAGCGACCGACCCCUUGUCAAAUGUAUUUGUGAAUGUAAUUAAUGUGUGACAGUGUGAUAUGAGACUUCGUCAAUUAAAUGAAUCCACAUGGAUUUGAUCCAACGGUAACCACUUUGGCCUGAUCACUAUAAAUAAUAGCUUAUGUAACAUUGUAAGAAUGGGAAAAUAUAUACUCAAGCAUAUAUGCUUAUCACCACUCUCUUGAUAUUUGUUUAAGUUAAAAUCAUUUCUUAUUAUGAUUGCUCCGACCUGGUGUAUUUCACUCCUAUCCCCACAUUCAUAGUAAGCCAUCAAAUCUCCGACCGAAUAUCGAGGUAAAGCCCGCCAAAAUUUGCUUACAUGGACUCAAGCGAAACCUGAACUUGUUGGCACAUUUUUUGGGGUCAACAAUACUCUUAUCUUAUUAUAAAUCCUAAGGUUUGUAAACACUUCCGAAAUGUAUCAAAGAAUGUUUUUCAUCUCUAAACAACACCAUGUCUUUUAGUGACUUAUAUAAUUUGAUGACAACCACCACCGAACCCUCUCCCACACACACUAACCUAGAAUAUGUUUCAAGAAACUUUUUAUAAUUUCAUGGACAGAUCUAUUUGACAGACAUGUGAACCACUUAGCCUCCAGUGCUUUAUCUCUAGCUCCAAUGGGGUGGUGUGCAUGUGCCGCCUAUAAUUCUAACAUCAGUCAAAGGCUGUUUUUUCCCUGCACUUUCAUGAAAAGAGUAAUUAAUAAUAACCAGAUUAUUGGAGAAUCACAGCUACCUACGAGAUUUCACAUCCAAAAUUCAACUAUUCACCCAAAAACAAAUAUUUAUGGCUAAAAUUUGAUGAAUUGGUAACUGAACCAAAUUUCCAAUAUCCCCAACUAAUAGUAGGCUCUUGAGGUAUUGAAUGGCUAUGUUAUCAAGUUGUUGCCCUAUAAUAAUGAGUUAUCAAGAAUUCGUAUUUAAUUUUGUCCAUGCCUUUUUCUUUUUUACUCGAGGUUAAAGAUUAGGUCCCUACCCUCCCGUGCAGAGUUUUGGCUUAUCAGGCCUCUUUCUACACAUUCAUAUUGGAUUUCUCUGGUCUAUAUAAACUCACAGACGCACACAUGACCAGCAUAAACUAGAGUAAACCCACAUCAUCUAUAGCUCUUUCUUCCUCUCCCUGUCGUUGAAGUGGGUGGAGCUUGUAGGAAGAAUUAAUGGCUGUCCUAAUUGUAAUUCUUGGGGUAUUUUUUGGGCUCUGUAUUCUCAGUACCACUUUACUGAGAUGGAAUGAGGUCAGGUACAAGAAGAAAGGAUUGCCCCCUGGAACAAUGGGUUGGCCAGUUUUUGGAGAGACAACUGAGUUUCUUAAACAAGGUCCUAGCUUCAUGAAGAACCAACUAUUAAGGUGUCUUUAGUCGUUCUAAAAUAAUGUUUAUUGCAAUAUUCUGAUUCUUACUCUAUUGUGUGUAAUGGGUAGUUUUGUACUGCGGAAAGCCUAGCAUGGCCUCUCUGUGGAAAAUCACACCACCGUGUGAUCCUUAUUCCCCCUUGAUCAAAGAUAGAUUCAUGAGAAACUUCCAUACAUAGAAAACAAAUAGACGAUUAUCUUUCAGUCUAUCAUUAAUCAUUAUGUUUCCACUUUUUGUAAUGCCAUGAUAAGGCAUAGAUCUUCGGUUCAACUCCUAAAAGGGCUUUAGCUUUUUUUUUACAAGUCCAGUCAUAGUAUUUAAGUUUUCUGUGAUUUUAACUAAUUUUUCUCUCUCCCGUGUUUCUGUGAUAGGUAUGGGAGUUUUUUCAAAUCCCACUUAUUGGGUUGUCCUACCAUCGUUUCAAUGGAUCCAGAGGUAAAUAGAUAUAUUCUAGUGAAUGAAGCAAAAGGCCUUGUCCCUGGCUAUCCCCAGUCGAUGCUAGACAUCUUAGGGAAAUGUAACAUUGCAGCUGUCCAUGGUUCUGCACACAAGCACAUGAGAGGGGCAUUGCUUGCACUUAUUAGCCCUGCCAUGAUCAAACAGCAACUUCUACCAAAAAUUGAUGAUUUUAUGAGAUCCCAUUUGAGCAAUUGGGAUAACAAAAUCAUCGAUAUUCAAGAGAAAACAAAGGAGGUUUGUAUUAAUUAUUCGAAUUCUUACUAAAGAAUUGUUUUAGUUCGUUAUAUUUGUUCUUCCUCUUUUCUAAUAUGACUUAUGAUUUUAUUCAGAUGGCUUUUCUGUCAUCGCUGAGGCAAAUAGCAAGCAGUGAAGCCAGCUCAAUAUCUCAAGCAUUCAUGCCUGAAUUCUUCAAGCUAGUACUAGGAACUCUUUCAUUGCCUAUCAACCUUCCCAAUACAAACUACCAUCGUGGAUUACAGGUAAAUUAGGCAAUCCUAAUGUAUGUGGUUCAAUAUAAUGAAAUGCUAAGUUGACAAAAAUAAUUUAUCACAGGCAAGGAAAAAUAUUACAGGCUUGUUGAGAAAGCUUGUGGAAAAGAGAAGAACUUCGGGAGAAACUCUAAACGACAUGCUUGGUUUCCUAAUUAAUGGAGAGAAUAAAUAUAAUCUAAGUGAUGAGGAGAUGAUUGAUUUGAUAAUCACAAUUUUGUAUUCUGGAUAUGAGACUGUAUCAACUACUUCAAUGAUGGCCCUUAAAUAUCUUCAUGAUCAUCCAAAAGUACUUGAUGAAUUAAGAGUGAGUUAAAAGGCUACAGUUUCCCAUUAUGUUUACAUUUGACUUAAUUAAUGCCUUUCAGUCUAACUUGAUUUCAUACUUUGUAGAAAGAGCAUGUGGCAAUUAGAGAAAAGAAAAGGCUAGAGGAUCCUAUUGACUAUAAUGACUACAAAUCAAUGCGCUUUACACGUGCGGUAAGUAUUAGAAACUCUUGUCUUGUGUGUACUAGUUACUGGAGGGUAAUUUUCAGCUUAAUAAUGUGAUGGUGUUUCUUUCUGCAGGUUAUCUAUGAAACCUCAAGAAUGGCUACAAUAGUAAACGGAGUUUUGAGGAAAACAACUAAAGAUAUGGAAAUAAAUGGUGGGUAUUGGGUAAAGCCUCAGCACAAGUCUUCACGUCGUCGUCUUCUUUAUUUUUCCCCUGUUUUUCUAUGCUUUAAGAAUAUGUUUGGUACAUUUGACAUUAGAGAACAAAUUAAGCAUUGUCCUCAAUGAUAUUAGGAUCGCCUACCUGAAAUUAUAUAACAAAGUAACAUUAUUCUCGAUAAUAUUAGGGUCGCCUACCUGAAUCCUUUUAUGCACAGUAAAUAUUAUCUAAUACAAUACUACAAAACGCGUCAUAACAAUGUAAAUGACAAUUUACAAACUCUAGGAGCAGUCCUCAAAUUCUUCCCCCCUUUGAGACUUUCUAUGCAUAUAUAAAAUAUUUAAGCCCUGUUUGAGUCCCGUUUCUUUAAAAUCUAUUUUUUCCCAGACUAAUUUUAAACUACGCUCCUUCAAUAAAAUAUUUUGCACGUACAUUCAAAAUUUUUCCUAUUUUAUAACCACACGAACUCUAAAAUAAUCACUUUCACAAAAUGUAUUCUAAGAAGAUGAGCUAGAGAGUGGCUAAAUUCAGCACUUGCAUUCAGUAUGUAUAUAAUGAUAGUAUAAGAAAACAUCUUUUAUGAUGGACCCUACCCUAUCAUGAUCCACAUGGAAAACUUACAUUCCAACCAAGGCAUUCCAUUAAUGACCCAUCUUUUGUCCAAAUGAAUUAUUUUGUCUAUAAUUUUGGAUAAUGGAGGAUGAAACUCAAACCAUGGUCCUUCCUCUCAUCAAAAAAAAUUAAGCAAUAUAAUACCAGAUUAUCCUUAUUCUAAUUUAAGUUUAAUCAGCAGUAAAUGCAGAAAACUUCAGUCUGAUAACUUUACUAGUUUUACUCGCAAUCAGCAUGUUCUUUGCCAAAAUUUUGAUGAACUCGAUAAAUUAUAAUAACUUAUCUCUUUUUUCGACUUUCAGGAUUUGUUAUUCCCGAAGGAUGGAGGAUAUAUGUUUACACAAGAGAGAUUAACUAUGAUCCACACCUUUAUCCCGAUCCAUUAACCUUCAAUCCAUGGAGAUGGCUGGUUCGUAAUCCUAAGUCCUAAAAGUAAUUUUUUUGCAUUCACAAUGAUAGCUUGUUUGUUGCUGAAGAAUAGAUAGCACUAGACAAUACUAAGACAAAAAAAAAAGAAAAAAAAAAAAGAAGCUCUAUUAUUGCCCAUUAUAGUGUCAACUACUGCAUAGAAACAUGUCUCUGAAAGUCUAAUUUUUUCAAAGUGAUUAAUAUUCUAAUAUGAUGGAUACAGGACAAAGGCCUAGAGUACCAAAACUAUUUCUUCAUAUUUGGAGGGGGCACCAGGCAGUGUCCUGGAAAGGAGCUUGGAUUGGCAGAAAUUUCUACAUUCCUUCAUUACUUUGUGACAAGAUACAAUUGGAAAGAAGUAGGAGGAGACACGCUGAUGAAAUUUCCGAGGGUUGAAGCACCAAAUGGACUUCACAUUAGGGUUUCUAGUAACUAAACAUCAUCGAUUCAAUGUACAGAAAAAUAACAUAGCAGAUUCAGAUGAACAUUUGGAUGUACAAUCCUGUUCAGCUAACCCAUUAUAAAAUUGAAAAACCAUUUUUGCCAUGUCUAUGAAUUCAAAACACAAUAAUUACGCGCGCGGAGAAAAAUUAAUCAAAUCGAUUGCUAAAAACAAUACAAUUAAUGCCGCGAUAUUGUGAACACGAAUCAGUCAAUCUGAAAAAACUACAAAUUCAAUUUUUUGCAGAGAAUUUACCGUUUAUUCAUGAGGAAAGGCAGUCGCAGUUAAUACAUAUAAGACUGGUGCAGAUUUUAUCGGUUUGUAGCAUGGGGAACGGGGAAUCUGCAAUUU
rnacentral:lncRNA from 1 species